GCAUACAAUACACAUAAGGCUGCCACAAAAAUCGAAGAAGAAAGCUUUUUGAUAUGUUUUUUAGAAGCAGGUUUCUGUCUUUCCCCAUGGUAAUUGGAGCCGUAGUAAUUGGAGUUGUUUCUGGAAAAGCAAUAUUUGGGUCCCCACUUGAUGAGUACUGGAAAAAGAAGCUUCAGGAGGAGGCAGCUGCAAAAGACACCGACACAAGCUCUACUUAGGAAAUGUGCUGAAUUUAUCACCAGUCUGUGGCAAUAGGCACUGGGAAGUGCGAAAUCGUCAUUUCCAGUUUGCUGACUGAAGAGGCAUACUAUGCAUAUUCAUUGGAAUCAUUGCGCUUGAUACAAUGUAGAUUAGGACAAUGCAAAUGCUGAUAGCUUGAUACACCCAGGUGGUAUAGGGUCCCAGCUUAUUGCUUGGUACGAUAGGAGGAACUCGGUGCAUUACAUUAUUUGGUUGUUUUGUGGUCAAAGCAGAAAAGCAUGAUGAACCUAAUCUGCUGAAUGAUUCUUAAGCUUCAGAUCCCAAUAAAGAUUUUAUUGAACCUUAAAAAAA
rnacentral:misc_RNA from 1 species